rnacentral:siRNA from 1 species
GCGAUCCACAACAACCAUGAUGAC